GAUGAACGCUGGCGGCGUGCCUAAUACAUGCAAGUCGAGCGAACAGAUGAGGAGCUUGCUCCUCUGGCGUUAGCGGCGGACGGGUGCUUCCCACGUGGAUAACCUACCUGUAAGACUUGGCUACUUUCGGGAAAUCGGAGCUACUAACGGAAAAUAUAUUGAACCGCAUGGAUCCAUCGUGAAAGUCGGUUUUGCGGUCACUUAUAGCCGGAUCCGGGCAGCAUUAGCUAGUUGGUAAGGUAACGGCUUACCAAGGCAACGAUGCGUAGCCGACCUGAGAGGGUGAUCGGCCACACUGGAACUGAGACACGGUCCAGACUCCUACGGGAGGCAGCAGUAGGGAAUCUUCCGCAAAGGGCGAAAGCCUGACGGAGCAACGCCGCGUGAGUGAUGAAGGUCUUCGGAUCGUAAAACUCUGUUAUUAGGGAAGAACAAAUGUGUAAGUAACUAUGCACGUCUUGACGGUACCUAAUCAGAAAGCCACGGCUAACUACGUG
rnacentral:rRNA from 1 species